AUUGAACGCUGGCGGCAGGCCUAACACAUGCAAGUCGAGCGGAUGAAGGGAGCUUGCUCCUGGAUUCAGCGGCGGACGGGUGAGUAAUGCCUAGGAAUCUGCCUGGUAGUGGGUGAUAACGUCCGGAAACGGGCGCUAAUACCGCAUACGUCCUGAGGGAGAAAGUGUGGGAUCUUCGGACCUCACGCUAUCAGAUGAGCCUAGGUCGGAUUAGCUAGUUGGUGGGGUAAAGGCCUACCAAGGCGACGAUCCGUAACUGGUCUGAGAGGAUGAUCAGUCACACUGGAACUGAGACACGGUCCAGACUCCUACGGGAGGCAGCAGUGGGGAAUAUUGGACAAUGGGCGAAAGCCUGAUCCAGCCAUGCCGCGUGUGUGAAGAAGGUCUUCGGAUUGUAAAGCACUUUAAGUUGGGAGGAAGGGCAGUAAGUUAAUACCUUGCUGUUUUGACGUUACCAACAGAAUAAGCACCGGCUAACUUCGUG
rnacentral:rRNA from 1 species